rnacentral:rRNA from 1 species
UACGUAGGGUGCGAGCGUUAAUCGGAAUUACUGGGCGUAAAGCGUGCGCAGGCGGUUCGUUGUGUCUGCUGUGAAAUCCCCGGGCUCAACCUGGGAAUGGCAGUGGAAACUGGCGAGCUUGAGUGUGGCAGAGGGGGGUGGAAUUCCGCGUGUAACAGUGAAAUGCGUAGAGAUGCGGAGGAACACCGAUGGCGAAGGCAACCCCCUGGGCUGACACUGACGCUCAGGCACGAAAGCGUGGGGAGCAAACAGG